AUGGAAGGAACAAGAUUAGAGAGUAUGCAAGCGGGCACUCACACCACGUUCCACGCUACUACCACGACUCUUAAUAGACCAACGCAAACAUACGAACCCACUCGGCCGGACCGCAUGCGAUGCCACGACGACGACGACGACGACGCUCAGUUGGACCGCAUUUUGUUGAGCUGGUUCAGCGCCGGCUGCAGGAUGUUGUACAGCACCCACCCGAGCGCGGGCGCCACCACGAAGAGCAGCAGCAGGCCCCGGUUGUCGUCGGCGGGCACUACCGCCGCCAGUGCGGCGAGCUCCUGCACGGCGGCGGAGGCCGGCUCCGGCACGGCGGCCAGGCCCGCGGCCGCGGCGGCGCCGAUGCCGAGCCCGGCGACGAGCGCCUUCUCGGACCGCAUCUUGUUGAGCUGGUUCAGCGCCGGCUGGAGGAUGUUGUAG
rnacentral:rRNA from 1 species